CGGGGCGUGGCUCAGCCUGGUAGAGCGCCUGGUUCGGGACCAGGAGACCGCAGGUUCGAAUCCUGCCGCCCCGACCA
rnacentral:tRNA from 1 species